UGAUCACAUCUUUGAGAUGGUACCUGUACAGUUUAAUUUCCAAUGAGCUGCAGAAAAGAUGUACCCUUCCAAAGCUACAAACCAUAAAACUGAAGUCGUGCACUUCCCACACCAAGGUAAUUUAUGACACACCCUAUAUCAGCCAGGUCAUGCCAAGUCCAAGUUCUGAUAAAGGCACAUUGGAUUGCAUGAGCAGCUGGAACUCCAGUAUAACUAAUGCAGUGUGAGAAGAUAGAAUUUAGGAAUUA
rnacentral:misc_RNA from 1 species